GGACCCAUAGCUCAGCGGUAGAGCGUCGGCUUCCAGUUCCGAAGGUCAUCCGUUCAAAUCGGGUUGGGUUCA